GGUACAUAACACCAUUUUCAACCAAUGUUCAUUACUUGCAUUGGUGUAACAAGUUAGUGAUUCCGAUAGUUAUGAUCCACAACGCGACGAUGCUGACUGAACUUCCUCCUGUGUAUGCAUUCAGUACCAUAGGCGCUAUGAUAUCGAUCAAGUUUAUGGAAGCUAUCGUGUUCACAGGUG